CAGGCCUCGGCCUUAUCCAGUGAGGAGGAGGAGGAGAAAAGACCGUCCUCUCCCUCCCCCCUUUCCGCCUGCCUCCCUUCUCAAAUCUCUUUCCCUCUCCCGCUCCUUCAGCCUGUCUUCCCUUCACCUUUCCUUCCUUUUCACUACUGAGGAGACACCUACAGUUUCCCUCUAGCAGCUCCUUCCUCUCUCCUCCUGCCUCCCCUCCUAAAAAUCUCUUUCCCUCUCCCACUCCUCCAGCCUGUCCUCCCUGCACCUUUCCUCUCUUUUGCUGCUGAGAAGACACCUAGGACAGGGGUGUCAAACUGGUGCCAUGGAGGGUCGAGAGUCUGCUGUCCCGCUUCCCCUACCCCAGCUACCCCUUCAGUGGAGAAGUCCAACACCUCCACCGCCUCGUCCUUCUCCACCUUCCCCUCGACUUCCUGUGAUCCAGGCAGCAACCAGACCACCAAACCAGCAGACCAGGAAUCAGGCUGUGGUGAGAAAAUCUUCCAGGAGGAGGAGCAGAACAACUUGUCACUGGACAUCUCCUCUUCCAUUGAAGACAGCCUCCAACUCUACUUCAAGACUUGGAGUUGGAGUGCACUUGCCGGCUGAGCUAUGGCGGCCAGGCAGCAGUCGCCAGGUGGUUUCUCACUCUGCCCUGGUUGCUGGUUCUUCACAUGAAGAGGUUCCAGUGCGACGGAGGAGAGCUGAGGAAAGUGGAUGCUGCUGUUAGCAUCCCUGCAGAGCUGUCACUGACCUCCCUCUGUGGAGAGCAGACAGACCAACUGAGGUAAUGCUCAGCAGGAGGCAGUAUAAGCUCAGUAUGAAGACCAGAACACCUACUGACUCUCUACAAUGGUCUCUCACAUCGGGAAGAGCAUGGACGGCGGUCACUGUAUCAGUGUCACUGUAGAGGGAGAUGCAACAAAUGGCUGUCCCUCAGUGACUCCCAUGUGGAAAAGACAGAAGAGACGGUCCUGAGAGAGAGAGAGAGGACACGGCGUACCUGCUGUUCUCAGUGGGCCAUGAGAGGAGGGACGAUGAAGCCCAGCAGCAGCACCAGGAGACCAACCAAACUGUCUGCACCAGCCAGGUCUAAACAGGCCCGGCUUUUAUUCUGACAAGUUUUAUUUAACCCUCUGAAAAUCACUUUGUUUCUAAAAAUUGCAACUUUUGCCUGUGAUGAUGUAAUUUCUUUUGUUGGAAAGUACAGAUUCUUGUUAUUUUUUAUUAUUAAUAAUGCAGGUUAUGUUCUGAAUUUUUUGGGUUUGUUUUUCAUUUAUAUAAUUUUUAGACAGGCUUCACUUUCAGACAAAAAAAAUACAGCAUCUUCGUAGAGCAAAGAAUCUAUUUUAAAUUAACACGAAUAAAGGCAGUUACCUUCAGAGGGUUAAUUUAAACAUGUCCAAAUAAAAUGUCGCUCCUGGUUUUCGGGUUAGUAAGUAAGCACACCCUUUGAAAUAGUUCUCAUAUGUUUUCCUCUCUCUGAUCAGGUGAGUGUCAUACAGAAGCUUGGCUGUAACCCACUAGGACUCUCCAGAUUCUGAGUGUUGUGGCUCACUGAUGGAUAAUCUUGUCUGUUAACAGGAUGCUGGUGCCGCUUGCUUGUCUCUUUGAAGAGCAGCUGGAUGAACCUGCAGAGAACAAAGAGAAUGCUCAUCAGGAAGCUGUGGCUGUGUCCUGUCGCCUCCUGCUGUUUUUCCUCCAUGGCUGCUGAUCGUCCUGCACUGCUGGGUCGCCUGCCUUGCUCAAAGGCAGGCUCAAAGCUUUUCUUUUGUAAUAUACCUGUGUUACUUUGGUAAUCUGCCCUCUGUGUCGACACUUAUUACACACCUGCCUGGCCAGGAA